GGUAUCACUUACCUAGAUAAGUGAUUCCCUCCUCUAGACUUAGGUAAGUUGAUUUCCCAAGUAGAAGGUAAAUACAAUAAAGAUGAAAAUGUCAAAGAUGCCCCCAAAACAUAAGGCUUUGCCCAUUCGAGAGUUUCUCCACUUCUAUUUUUCCAUCAUCUUCAUCUUUCUCGCCGUCGCCGAUCCUUUUACUUGUCACUACUACUGCACUAGUCACCGCUGGCUGCUAUAUAUUUUUUUCCUGAUCUUUCCUUAUACAGCGGCACUUCCGUAAAAUCGGCCGAAUUUACAUGGCUACGGUACUGGAAUUGGUGACUGUUCCUCGUCCUGGAUUCCGUAUGGCCCUAUCGUUAUCACCGAUGGCUUCUUUGGUUACUACUUCCCUGAACAUCGGGAAAGUCUACAGCUUGCCAGAAUUUAAGGGUUUAAGGAUUCAAUCGCAUCCUUUGAGGCGCACGUCUGCAUUGGUAAGCAUGAGGAAUACAUGGAUUUCUCGAUGAGGAGAAAUGAUCGUAUGUGAGGCUCAGGAUACAUCUCUCAAUGAUGUGCAUAGGAUAGGAGAGAUGUAUAGUGAUCAUAUCCAACAACAAUUUUGGAGUAGAGUUGCAGAACUGUUGUAUAGGAGAGAUGAUGUGCAGUAACCAUAUCCAACCAGAGCCUAUUGUUCAGUUAGAUUCUGAUUGUUGAAUGCAGAGGUUGUUUUAACGUUUGUGAAGAUGAUGUGAAUGCCAUUAGCCCAAACUUGAAAGAUGUUAUUCAAUUAGAUUUUGACCAACAAUUUCAACUAUA